ensembl:lncRNA
GCAGGCACAGAGAGACCCAGGCAAGCAGAGAGCGACACAGAGAGAUCCAGACAGGCACAGAGAGACACAGAGAUACCCAGAAGGGCACAGAGAGACACAGAGAGAUCCAGGAAGGCACAGGGAGACACAUAGAGACCCAGGAAGGCAUAGAGAGACACAGAGAGACCCAGGCAGGCUUUAGAGACAGACAGAGAGAUCCAGGAAGGCACAGAGAGACAAUACAGACAGAGGCAGGCACAGACACACACACAGAGACCACACACACACACACACACACACACUACAUACAUGCGGUGUCUCUCUUUCACACAGAUAGAGACAUGCAGAGACACACAGACACAUAUACACAGACACAAAGACACCCAUCUACCCACACACAUACACACCGCUCCUCAUGACGUCACUGAGGUUAGUGUAGCCACUGUAGCUGCUAAUGCACUUCACAGUAUCUCCUGAAAACUACAACUCCAGCCUUAUUUAUCC